GACGAACGCUGGCGGCGUGCCUAAUACAUGCAAGUAGAACGCUGAAGAGAGGAGCUUGCUCUUCUUGGAUGAGUUGCGAACGGGUGAGUAACGCGUAGGUAACCUGCCUUGUAGCGGGGGAUAACUAUUGGAAACGAUAGCUAAUACCGCAUAACAAUGGAUGACACAUGUCAUUUAUUUGAAAGGGGCAAUUGUUCCACUACAAGAUGGACCUGCGUUGUAUUAGCUAGUAGGUGAGGUAAUGGCUCACCUAGGCGACGAUACAUAGCCGACCUGAGAGGGUGAUCGGCCACCCUGGGACUGAGACCCGGCCCAGACUCCUACGGGAGGCAGCAGUAGGGAAUCUUCGGCAAUGGGGGCAACCCUGACCGAGCAACGCCGCGUGAGUGAAGAAGGUUUUCGGGUCGUAAAGCUCUGUUGUAAGUCAAGAACGGGAGUGAGAGUGGAAAGUUCACACUGUGACGGUAGCUUACCAGAAAGGGACGGCUAACUACGUG
rnacentral:rRNA from 1 species